rnacentral:rRNA from 1 species
AGAAUCAACGCUGGCGGCGUGCCUCAGACAUGCAAGUCGAACGCGAAAGUUUCCUUCGGGAGACAAGUAGAGUGGCGCACGGGUGAGUAACACGUAGGUAAUCUACCUUCGGAUGGGGAAUAACAGUCGGAAACGGCUGCUAAUACCGCAUAAUGCAGCGGCACCUAAUGGUGACAGUUGUUAAAGCGGGGGAUCGAAAGACCUCGCGUCUGAAGAGGAGCCUGCGGCGGAUUAGCUAGUUGGUAAGGUAAUGGCUUACCAAGGCUACGAUCC